CAAGGAAUUUUCGUCAAUGGGCGCAAGCCUGAACGAGCAACGCCGCGUGGUGGAUGACGGCCUUCGGGUUGUAAACACCUUUUGGGGAGGACGAUGAUGACGGUACUCUCCGAAUCAGUCCCGGCUAACUCUGUGCCAGCAGCCGCGGUAAGACAGAGGGGGCCAGCGUUGUCCGGAAUUACUGGGCGUACAGCGCACGCAGGUGGCACGGCAAGUGUGGUGUGAAAGCCUCGGGCUUAACCCGGGGAGGCCAGCACAGACUGCCGCGCUCGAGUCACGCAGAGGAUGGUGGAAUUGCCGGUGUAGUGGUGAAAUGCGUAGAGAUCGGCAGGAACACCAAGGCCGAAGGGAGCCAUCUGGGCGUGUACUGACACUCAUGUGCGACCGCGUGGGGAGCCAAC
rnacentral:rRNA from 1 species